GAUGAACGCUGGCGGAGUGCCUAACACAUGCAAGUCGAGCGGCAGCGCGAGUAGUUUACUACUUGGCGGCGAGCGGCGGACGGCUGAGUAACGCGUGGGAACAUGCCCCAAAGUGAGGAAUAACUGCCCGAAAGGGUAGCUAAUGCCGCAUAUGAUCUUCGGAUUAAAGGAUUUAUCCGCUUUGGGAGUGGCCUGCGUACGAUUAGAUAGUUGGUGAGGUAAAGGCUCACCAAGUCGACGAUCGUUAACUGGUUUGAGAGGAUGAUCAGUCAGACUGGAACUGAGACACGGUCCAGACUCCUACGGGAGGCAGCAGUGAGGAAUCUUCCACAAUGGGCGAAAGCCUGAUGGAGCAACUCCGCGUGCAGGAUGAAGGCCUUCGGGUUGUAAACUGCUUUUAUGAGUGAAGAAUAUGACGGUAACUCAUGAAUAAGGGUCGGCUAACUACGUG
rnacentral:rRNA from 1 species